rnacentral:rRNA from 1 species
GACGAACGCUGGCGGCGCGCUUAACACAUGCAAGUCGAACGGAAAGGCCUGCUUUCCCUUGUGGAUUGCGGGUACUCGAGUGGCGAACGGGUGAGUAACACGUGAGUGAUCUGCCCCCAACUUGGGUAUAAGCCUGGGAAACUGGGUCUAAUUCCCGAUAGGACUGCAGGGUGGUGCCUGUGGUGGAAAACGAUUUUCUAGUGGUUGGGGAUGAGCUCGCGGCCUAUCAGCUUGUUGGUGGGGUAAUGGCCUACCAAGGCGGCGACGGGUAGCCGGCCUGGGAGGGGGGACGGCCACAUUGGGACUGAGAUACGGCCCAGACGCCUACGGGAGGCAGCAGUGGGGAAUAUUGCACCAUGGGCGGAAGCCUGAUGCAGCGACGCCGCGUGGGGGAUGACGGCCUUCGGGUUGUAAACUCCUUUCGACCGCGAGGAAGCCACCUGGUUGGAAGGGUGGUGACGGUAGUGGUAGAAGAAGCACCGGCUAACUACGUG